rnacentral:rRNA from 1 species
AACGAACGCUGGCGGCAGGCCUAACACAUGCAUGUCGAACGAGAAGCCACCUCCGGGUGGUGGACAGUGGCAGACGGGUGAGUAACGCGUGGGAACGUGCCUUUCGGUUCGGAAUAACCCAGGGAAACUUGGGCUAAUACCGGAUACGCCCUUCGGGGGAAAGACUCAUUGCCGAAAGAUCGGCCCGCGUCGGAUUAGCUAGUUGGUGGGGUAAUGGCCCACCAAGGCGACGAUCCGUAGCUGGUCUGAGAGGAUGACCAGCCACACUGGGACUGAGACACGGCCCAGACUCCUACGGGAGGCAGCAGUGGGGAAUAUUGGACAAUGGGCGAAAGCCUGAUCCAGCCAUGCCGCGUGGGUGAAGAGGGCCUUAGGGUUGUAAACCCCUUUCAGCGGGGAAGAUAACGACGGUACCCGCAGAAGAAGUCCCGGCUAACUCCGUGCCAGCCGCCGCAGUAAUAC